rnacentral:rRNA from 1 species
AGUCACUUUCCCUUCGGGGCAUUGGAGACAGGUGGUGCAUGGUUGUCGUCAGCUCGUGUCGUGAGAUGUUGGGUUAAGUCCCGCAACGAGCGCAACCCCUAUUUCCAGUAGCCAGCAAGAAAGAUGGGAACUCUGGAGAGACUGCCCGGGAUAACUGGGAGGAAGGCGGGGAUGACGUCAAAUCAUCAUGCCCCUUAUGAUCAGGGCUACACACGUGCUACAAUGGCGUAAACAAAGGGAAGCGAAGUGGUGACACGAAGCAAAUCCGAAAAAUAACGUCUCAGUUCGGAUUGUAGUCUGCAACUCGACUACAUGAAGCUGGAAUCGCUAGUAAUCGCGAAUCAGAAUGUCGUGGUGAAUACGUUCCCGGGUCUUGUACACACCGCCCGUCACACCAUGGGAGUCGGAAAUGCCCGAAGUCAGUGACCCAACCGAGAGGAGGGAGCUGCCGAAGGUGGAGCCGGUAACUGGGGUGAAGUCGUAACAAGGUAGCCGUAUCGGAAGGUGCGG